CAGCAGCUGCGGUAAUACGGAGGAUCCAAGCGUUAUCCGGAAUCAUUGGGUUUAAAGGGUCCGUAGGCGGUCUUGUAAGUCAGUGGUGAAAGCCCAUCGCUCAACGGUGGAACGGCCAUUGAUACUGCAGGACUUGAAUUAUUGGGAAGUAACUAGAAUAUGUAGUGUAGCGGUGAAAUGCUUAGAGAUUACAUGGAAUACCAAUUGCGAAGGCAGGUUACUACCAAUUGAUUGACGCUGAUGGACGAAAGCGUGGGUAGCGAACAGGAUUAGAUACCCGUGUAGUCCCUGUCUCUUAUAC
rnacentral:rRNA from 1 species